AUGGAGAUGCUUUGCUUCUGGGCCAGUAGGUGCCGAGGGUACCUACAUGCCAAGAGUUUGGGCACUGGCGGGGAGCUGCUCUCAUAUAUCUGGCUCCUGCUAUCGUGCAUGGGGAUGGAGACCUUGCCGGAGAGGCUGCAGAGGACGGAGCCUUCGAGUGCAGGAGGAAACGCCGGUGCCCCUCCAUCAACUUCCCAGGUCAGCACCCCCAGAGGUCUCAUGAAGCUGCUGCCGCUGCUGCUGGCGCAUCUACCUCUGGACCUGAAGAAAUACAACCAGCUUUAUAACCUGAGAAAUCAUUAUCUCUGUGGUGUUCAUUUCCUUGGGUUCAUUGCUUGCAGCUGCUCGAUCGUUAUGCAGAGCUUGCUGCACUAG
rnacentral:rRNA from 1 species